UUUUGUUUUUAUUUUUUUCAUUGCGUCACCGUGCAUGCGGUGCUGCGUGACGGAUUGCGGCGCUCGGACCAAUCUACAUUUUUAAUUACCCGUCGCACCCUGUAAUUCUGUCGCGUAAUCUUUUAAUCGUUGCCGAGGUACUGAAACAGCCUCCGUUGGACUUUGAUUUCAGUUAACGGAAAUUUUGACAAUUUCGAUAUGGCGUUAAUAGACUGGAAAUGCAAUUCGACUAUCAUUUGGACAAUAAAAUUGAUUCGAUUAAAACUGCGAUUUUACGUCCAAUUGUAAGCGUUGAGUAACUUUUAAAGUCGAUUCAAAUGUCGUCUUUGAAUAAAUUUUAAAAACUGUUUGGCAACCCUAAUCGUAACAACGUUUAAAAGCGCUAAUAUCAAAGUUAUAAAUAAAAUAAUACAGCGAAGAUUUAUCGAAUAGUGCCGUCGAAAUGGUCACUCUUGCCUGUCCGCAU
rnacentral:misc_RNA from 1 species